rnacentral:tRNA from 1 species
UGACUAAAGGGUUAUUUUGAUAGAAUAAAUUAUGUAAUUUUAUUUACCC